CCUUGGGUAGUGCAAACGGUAAACACGUUUGGCUGCUAACCAAAAGGCUGGAGGUUCAAAUCUACCCAGAGGU
rnacentral:tRNA from 1 species